rnacentral:lncRNA from 1 species
AUGCUUUUAGUGAUUUAUAGAUGAAAACUAUGGGUUUUUUCAUGUCGAAUGUUUAGACAGAAUCACAUGGACUGUUGAUGCAAAUGAUUUAUUAACCUUAUUGAUUACUUUUCCUCCAUUUUACUGAUAGAUGAUGAUAUUGAUGAUGAAGAGUUUUAUGAUGAUCAUUUGGAGGCUUAUUUUGAGCAACUGGCGAUUCCAGGAAUGAUGUAUGAAGACCUAGAAGGACAGGAACCUCCAGAAAAUUAUUUUAAGUUACCUACAAGUGAUCCUAGUCAGGAAAGCAGAAGAGCGGAAGUUCUGGUGAAGACUCUUAGGACUCCUAGUGCCAAACUUAACCCCAUUGACUUUCAUGACACAAAUGCCAAUAAAGAUGAUUUUGAUUUGAUGGAUUCUCUAAAGCUGGAGGAAGGGUCUCUUCAUCAAAAUAAGCAUUUGGCGUCAGACUCAGAAACUGUUUUGCCUGUGGAUAGAUUUUUAGACACUGAGAUGCCUCAAGUGUCCAUUCAAACAAAUGUGGAUGUAGCAUCUUUGAAGCCUGUUAGUGACAAUGCAUUUAAUUCCACUGAUGCUCCAUGGUCACCUACCAGUGAAAGGCAAACCUGCGAAGGUUAUGAGUUGGUUGGAAAGACCAAGGACCGUGAGUGGGCCUUUGUUUCUUUUUUCUUAUUAAAUAAAAAUAAGAAAUAUAUAAAAUACUUAUACGCACUGUAUUUCCAAGUAAAACUUGUGUAAUCUUUCGUAUUACAGUAUAUACAUGUUCUGUGGAUUUAAAUAUGGUGUACUUAUUCACAGAUCUGGUGGAAAAGUGCCUUUGUCAGUGUUUGUUGUCUUCUCCUUCCUCCCUCAUCCUCUGUGACGGAGUUUACUGGAACGAAGGCUGGGUGAUUUCACCGUCAGAGAGAGGCUUUCCUUUUGGGAAAAUGGGUUUCCUAAUUUGGGGCAGAUUUCAAUACCAGUGAUAACUAAGAUAAGUCAGCUAAAUGAAAUCAUUUAAAAAUAUCAUUUUGUUUGUUGUGUGUCAUUGGAUGUGUUUGGAAUUCUCUUUUCUAGAAGCGAACCCACCACAGAGUGUGGUCUAUCAGGAUGAGGAGGGCAGAUGGGUUACUGAUCUCGCCUAUUAUACACCUUUUGAUAAAGAACAAGAUUUCAAUGUGUCACUCAGUAAUGAACUGAGCGAAGACUUCCGAUCUGGCUGUAAGUGUUCUGAUAGCCUCUGCUUUUAAUCGUUUUCAUUGUUUCUGAUGGUCUUCUGAGGUUAGUCUGUCAUCCUGAUCGGCCACAUCAAAUCCCUUUUGGAGGAUGUGCUUAGCUCCUCACUUGUUUCUCCAGGAACAGAGGCUCACGUCCAUCAUUGCUCAUCACUGGGACUGAGCCAAGCUGUCCCUAAUCUAGGACAACAAGUCACUUUAGC